UACGUAGGGCGCAAGCGUUAUCCGGAAUUAUUGGGCGUAAAGAGCUCGUAGGCGGCUUGUCGCGUCUGCCGUGAAAGUCCGGGGCCCAACUCCGGAUCUGCGGUGGGUACGGGCAGACUAGAGUGAUGUAGGGGAGACUGGAAUUCCUGGUGUAGCGGUGAAAUGCGCAGAUAUCAGGAGGAACACCGAUGGCGAAGGCAGGUCUCUGGGCAUUAACUGACGCUGAGGAGCGAAAGCAUGGGGAGCGAACAGG
rnacentral:rRNA from 1 species